rnacentral:rRNA from 1 species
GAUGAACGCUAGCGGGAGGCCUAAUACAUGCAAGUCGAGCGGUAUAGAGACUUCGGUUUCUAGAGAGCGGCGCACGGGUGAGUAACGCGUACAUGACCUACCUUCAAGCCUGGGAUAGCCCUGGGAAACUGGGAUUAAUACCGGAUGUGAUAAUAAGUUUGGAUAUUUAUUAUUAAAGUUACGGCGCUUGGAGAUGGGUGUGCGUCUGAUUAGCUAGUUGGCGAGGUAACGGCUCACCAAGGCGACGAUCAGUAGGGGGCGUGAGAGCGUGACCCCCCACACGGGUACGUGAGACACGGACCCGACUCCUACGGGAGGCAGCAGUAAGGAAUAUUGGUCAAUAGGGCGAAAGACCUGAACCAGCCAUCCCGCGUGCAGGAUGAAGGUCCUAUGGAUUGUAAACUAGCUUUUAUCAGGGAAGAAACGCCUUCAUUCAUGAGGGUCUGACGGUACCUGAGGAAUAAGCACCGGCUAACUCCGUG